AAGAAACUAACAAGGAUUCCCCUAGUAACGGCGAGUGAAGCGGGAUGAGCUCAAAUUUGUAAUCUGGUGGACUCAGUUCAUCCGAGUUGUAAUCUAUAGAAAAGUUUUCCGCGUCGGACCGUGUCUAAGUCCCUUGGAACAGGGUGUCAGAGAGGGUGAGAAUCCCGUGCUUGAUACGACCACCGAUGCUAUGUGAUACUUUUUCAACGAGUCGAGUUGUUUGGGAAUGCAGCUCAAAAUGGGUGGUAAAUUCCAUCUAAAGCUAAAUAUUGGCGAGAGACCGAUAGCGAACAAGUACCGUGAGGGAAAGAUGAAAAGCACUUUGGAAAGAGAGUUAAACAGUACGUGAAAUUGUUAAAAGGGAAACGAUUGAAGUCAGUCGUGCUCUCUGAGAUUCAGCCAGUUAUUCUGGUGUAUUUCUCAGUGAGCGGGUCAACAUCAGUUUAGAUCGCUGGAUAAGGUCAUUAGGAAUGUGGCUCCCUCGGGAGUGUUAUAGCCUAGUGUCGCAUACAGUGGUUUAGACUGAGGAACGCAGCUCGCCUUUAUGGCCGGGGUUCGCCCACGUCCGAGCUUAGGAUGUUGACAUAAUGGCUUUAAA
rnacentral:rRNA from 1 species